CAAUGAUCCGGCCCAGUGCUACAACAACGACGUAAGCCUGUGCACCAUAUCGGAGCAUUUGUACCCCAUUGCUUUCAUCGGGGGACGCUGCGAGCAGCGGGUCAACAUUUGCCCACAGUCCGUUGGCUUCACUAGCAUCAACCACUGCGUCAAGAUGUGCCGAAGAAUAACCCCCGUGGUCCCCAGUGUCGAACCGGUCCUGUGAAGUGCCGCAUUUGUCGCACGAACUCGCGCGCACUCAUCGGUGUGGUGCCAAGCAAUGACCUUCAGUGCAACACUGAACGUCCAUUUCUCACUUCUUUUUUUUUUUCUCUGCAGUAUAUAUCCGUGUACAUUUUGAAAUUGUCAGUUUGUGCUGGUAUAUACAUAAAAAACUGAUAUGAACACUAACACUGCACACCAACCCCUUAGCACAUAACAAUAAAACACUCAGUUAGGAAAUCCCUAAAGUUAGUUGAAAGUAACCUCCUAAUAUACAUUUCUGUGUCCAUACUGCAAGAUCCUCACAUUUCCAAAAGCAUGAAUUCAAAACUUAACAUAACAAUCGUAGAUUCAACACAGUGAAACAAAUAUCAUGCAUUUAAUUUCUAAAGUUGCAAGAUGUACUCAAUAAACCUAACUACUCA